AGUGAACGCUGGCGGCGUGCCUAAUACAUGCAAGUCGAACGGAGCGGCGCACGGGUGAGUAAUAUAUAGCUAUUCUGCCCCUUGCUGGAGGACAACAGUUAGAAAUGACUGCUAAUACUCCAUGCAAGGGAUGAGACUAUAUCGUAUCAGCUAGUCGGUGGGGUAACGGCCUACCUAGGCUAUGAUGCGUAACUGGUCUGAGAGGAUGAUCAGUCACAUUGGAACUGAGACACGGUCCAAACUCCUACGGGAGGCAGCAGUGGGGAAUCGUCGGCAAUGGGCGAAAGUCUGACCGAGCAACGCCGCGUGAGUGAAGAAGGUUUUCGGGUCGUAAAGCACUGUUGUUAGGGAAGCGGUAUCUAACCAAGAAGCAACGGCUAACUACGUGCCAGCAGCCGCGGUAAUAC
rnacentral:rRNA from 1 species